rnacentral:misc_RNA from 1 species
UACGAAGGGGGCUAGCGUUAUUCGUCUUUACUGGGCGUAAAGGGUAAGUAGGUUGUCUUGUAAGUUUCAAAGUAUAAACUAAGCUUAACUUAGAAGACUUUGCAAAGACUGCAAGUACUCAGAGGCUGCUAGAGGAUGAGUUGUAUUCUUGGUGUAAAGGUGAAAUUUUUGGAUAUCAAGAAGACAUUCAAUUGGCGAAAGCAACAAUCUAUUGUGAGGCCUGACGCUGAAUUACGUAAGCGUGGGGAGCAAACAGG